rnacentral:rRNA from 1 species
CCUACGGGUGGCAGCAGUGAGGAAUAUUGGUCAAUGGACGAGAGUCUGAACCAGCCAAGUAGCGUGAAGGAUGACUGCCCUAUGGGUUGUAAACUUCUUUUAUAAAGGAAUAAAACGAGGCACGUGUGCCUUUUUGCAUGUAUUUUAUGAAUAAGGAUCGGCUAACUCCGUGCCAGCAGCCGCGGUAAUACGGAGGAUCCGAGCGUUAUCCGGAUUUAUUGGGUGUAAAGGGAGCGUAGACGGUGGGCCAAGUCAGUGGUGAAAUGCCGCGGCUUAACUGCGGAAGUGCUUUGGAUACUGGCGGGCUAGAGAGCAGGUGGGGUAGGCGGAAUUCCUGGUGUAGCGGUGAAAUGCGUAGAGAUCA